AGUCAAAGAUGGAGUCCAGAGCUUGGAGGCCGUGAGGGUUGGCCAUGGACGAAAUGCAAUUUCUAUUUUAGAGACAAUGCAUGCGACAGCCUGCCAUGCUUGAUGGAACAACUUAACACUGCAAUGGAUGUUCGUUUGGGGAAUACGCCGGAUAAAUGCAGAACAUUUACCUGCCAUCACUUAAACAACUUUUGCUCAUUUUCUCGUUCUCCUUUUCUGUCUUCCAAGGAUUGUCCCUCCCAUGGCAAGGUACCAUUCAUGAACUGAGGAGCUCAUCUCCGUGAAACCAUGUGCACCAAGCGUGUUCAGUACGACAUACGACUGCUGGAUAUUAACAGUCCAGACAGGAUCAAACUGAAAUCUUUUUAAAUAAGACAAUGUGGUUGACUGUAGAAUUUGACAGGCAAGAAGCAGGAAUGGUGGUUGAUUGGUUUGUGCCUGAGUGGGACUCAUUGCGUGUUUACAAGUGUUUAACAGGAGGAUGGGACACUUCUGCCAGGCUGUAUGCUCUGCGUCGUAUGAAAAGCUAGUAGGUCUAUUGAUUUCGGUCUUUACCUGUUUUCUCGGAAAUGUCGGAUUAGCUGUCACUUGUCAGCCGUGAUUAGGUGUUCUGUGUUCUGAAACUGGAGGUUGUGCUAGAGAUAACACACAGCCGGUGGUGGAACUGCUAUCUGAUGGGUGCUUUAAGAAAUCAGGAAGAAGAAAACUGAGGAUUGAUAAACAGCAAAUAGAAGACAGAAAACAGAACAAAUGGUUGAACUGGGAGCCUCAGAACCCUGUGUGCCCAGCUCCAGAGCUGCUGAGAGUUUGGAAUUCACACGACGUCAGCAACCCUGCCACGUGACGAGAGCCAUCGCAGGAGACGGGCCGUCUAAUUGGACAUUCUUUUCUCAAAAUGCGCAGGGUCUCGACUUCAGGGAAGGUCCUCUGGGCGGCUCAACUUCAGGGAAGGUCCUAUUGGGCGGCUCAACUUCAGGGAAGGUCCUAUUGGGCGGCUCAACUUCAGGGAAGGUCCUAUUGGGCGGCUCAACUUCAGGGAAGGUCCUAUUGGGCGGCUCAACUUCAGGGAAGGUCCUAUUGGGCGGCUCAACUUCAGGGAAGGUCCUAUUGGCGGCUCCUGCCUUGUUUUCCUGGUAUUGAGUUAUUGUUAGUUGUUUGUGAAGGUUGUUUAAUUAAGUAUGUAAUUUAAAAGCAAAGACUUAACAACUUUUGCAGGCCAUACGUUUGUUAUAGUCUUGCUCUGUGUUUUUAUAAAGAAAACCAGAUGAAUGAUGAUACAGUGUGAGUUAAGCUGACACAACACCACACCAGCACCAUGUAUACUAAACACUGAAACACUGUGAAAUAAUUCAUUAGAAGCUUUAACAAAAAGCAGUGAAAGACAAUCAAAUGAAAAAUAUGAAUUGUUCAUGGAAGGUUAUUCCAGUGUAACUCACAAAUCAAAAAGGACUUACGUUACAUUGUGUCAAUUAACUUGUUGUUGUUCAUUGUGUUGUUGGUCUUAAACUCAUCUUGUCAUUUUUGUCUAUCUGAAAUGUAUUUUACUAUAAGAGUUCGUAAUUAUGGAAAUUAUUCUAAGUAUACUUCUGACAAAGACUAUUUUAAAUGUAAAAACCUUCAGGAAGAGUUGUAUAUUGUAAGUUUCAGUAUAACUCAUUUAUUGCCAUACCCAAUUGUUAUUAAGCAUGUGUAAAAAAUCACAUUAGUUCAGAACCAUAUAUUUGCCUAAUCAUAGGAAUGUAUGGUCAUUAAGCAAGUGUAAAAUCUGUUUCAGAUUAUUGUGUAUAAAACUGUCAUAGAUAGAGAAGGGGCUUGUGUCAACAUAAUUUCAAGAUUAAAUGUAAUUUUAAGUAGUUUCAGGUGCUACAUCUAGUUAAUAUGGUGGCAGUGGGCUAUGGGCCUUGAGGUUAUGUGGCCAGGAAUCAGGAUCAUUCUAUCAAUGUAAGAAAAAUGCAUCAUCUAUUAAAUUAGAGCUAUACCCCCACCACUACUCCAUCCCUGCUCAGUAAUAUCACAUUCACAACAUCCUAAAUGGAGAAUUGAUUUCAGCCAUUGAGACUGUGUUGGUAGCAGAGCAAGGGUCUCUGUGAGCCUGAGAGCAGCUGGGCUGCUGC